rnacentral:lncRNA from 1 species
UAAUUUACAGUUAUUUCUCAGUCACAUAAACUGCCGGACAGCCACUCAAAGAUUAGCCAUUUACUACCAUUAGCCUAUCUCAAUAUCAAAUGAACAUCAAUCAAGAAAGGUAGGAUAUUCAAAGAGCUUUAUAACCAUAUAAGGUAUGAAAAAAUUGAUCAAGUAAUGAAAGGGGAAUUUAAAGUUUAAGUCAACUAUUUAACACCAUUCAGCAGCAAGUAUCUCAAUUACUUCAGUUUAUAGCAUGAUAUAUCAAGUCUUUUCUCUAAGCAAUAUGAACAGAAAAUAUCAUAAUUGGAAUUAUCUAGUCAAUCCAAAAAGAUUCUAUCAUUUUAUCAUUUAUAGAACUUGCACAAUGUCUCAUUUAGCAAAACAGGGCAGACUUGAACAGUUUUGACAUAUCUAGCUAAUCCAAUUUUUAUAAAAUACAAAACGACCUCAAAUCAUGAUUUUUAAAGAAUACAAACCAAAGACUAAUCACAUAACCACAUUAUAAAAACAACAAAAGCAGAUUUGGACGUGUGGUUAUUAAGUUAUGCAUUUUUGAAAAUGAAGUACGCAACAGAAUUACAACUAUAGAAGGGAGGUUGACACUAUUAGCUUACAAAAUUCAUAACUUUAAUUAUACAUAUCCAAAUCAAGUAAUUCGUCUUGGUAAUCACAGAAGACUCUACAUAGCAUCUAGUUACAGAGGUUUUGAUAUUUUACAACUACUCUCAACAUACUUAAUUAGUAUCCAAAACAGAAACAAAUUUCAGCUUCCAGAAUUUUAAACUAGUUAAUACAAUAAAAUCAUAUAACUUUAGUUUUACUAAACGAAAUCUCAAAUUUAUUUUUCCCACUUAAAAUACACGUCAAGGCACUUACAAAAUCAGUAAUUUACACACUAACCAACAACAAUUUCACACCAUUCUUAAGCAUAUCAAAACAGGGCAGGUUUGUCCUAGCAGCAUGGUAUCACAAAUUGACUCUUAAGCAUCACCAAAAAUUGACAAUUAAGGCCUAAGAACUAAUAUGCAACUUCCAAUAUCUCCAUUCUCUACACAGGAGCCCUUGAACACAUAGAAUCUGUCACGAAGAACCUCAUGCAGCUAGCAAGGAUCAUAAAUCAAAGUAGUUCAAGUAGAGAUUCGACCGAAAACAACAAAGAAACUCAUGAUUCAGUUUUACCCAAAACUAAUUACUACUUAUAAUCACUAACUCUAUACUAAAAACUGACACGCAACAACAAUCAAUCAUAAAUCAAGCCUUAAAAUCAACCCAACAAUCAAAAUAUCACAAAACCCCGGCCAUGGCUCACUGCAGUUCAUCGCCAUGGCCAGCCUUCACUUGGGGAGAUUCGUUUUCACCAGCUCUCGACCCAGGUGAGGCCAACAGCCUUCUUUCUCAUACAAUCGCACAACAAAGCCAUCUUUUGGGCCAAAACCCUAAUCACACCCAACACAUACAUGCAUAUAUCAAAGGUUUUGCAUACAAUUAAGGAAAGGGAGUAAUCAGGUAGAAUAUUAGAGCUACUAAACACUGAAAACGGCCAGGAAAAUUGGUGGAACCAAUGG